CCGACGAAACAGACCCUUAAGACACGCAAAAGAAAUCUCCCUCUUGCAUACCUAUCGGCGGCGGCUGCCACCAUCAUCGACGCCUCCGCUCCGCUACGCCGCGACUACUCCUCCUCACUGGUGAGGCGAAGACGGCAGUUUGGCGCGGGGCCACGGCAGAGGAGCAAGGGCCGCGGGCACAAGGCCGCCGGUGGAGGAGCCUUGGCCGCGUAGGGCGCGAGGCCGGCGGUGGAGGAGGCGAGCCGCGCCGCGCGAGGCCGGCCACACCCGCUCGCUGCCCCUAUAGCGUUGGAUGUGCUGCACAGGUCAUCUCCGCCCUUCUCGCCUGCACCUGAGAUCUCCAAGAUCUGGCGUGUUCUGCUCUUUCCGCAAGGGCCCAAGGACAAUGGACCUUGCAUCAGAAGGUUUGACAACACAACAACAGAAGGCAAAUAGUCGAAGACCAGUUGGUAGCUCACAAAUUUUGACAUGGUACUGUGUUUUGCUUCCAAGCCAGCAGACUUGAAAGCUAAAGGAAUGGGUUCUGACUGAUCAGCAGCAACAGCUUGUUAAUGCUAGUGGUCUUGGACAUCUUGCACUUACCUCUGGGUUUACCAUUGAUCGAUCUUUGCUUACAUCCUUUUGCGAGAGAUGGAACAAUGAGAUAAAUACUGCACAUUUCAUGGGAUUUGAAAUGGCACCAUCACUUCGUGAUGUUUCAUACAUUCUUGGCAUUCCAGUGAAUGGUCAUGUGGUGACCGCAGAGCCAAUUAGUGAUGAAGGUGUGAAUCGAAUGUGCUUGUAUUAUCUUGGAAGAGAGACCUGGUCAGUUAAAUAAUCUAUAAAUGUUCUGUGUAUAGAAUACGUUAGUUCUAUUUUGAACUAAGCUAUUGGUGCGAUCGAUUCAUUGUCUGUAGUGCAGCACUGCAGUGAUCUUUAUUCACAAUGUUAUUGUCAUUUUUUAUUGUAUUUA